ACCUGAGCACUUUGUGAUGAAGACUGUAUUUUAAUAGAACCCUUCUUUGUUCUCGCUUCUGAUGGGGCAGAAAUGUGAUUUAGUAGCUUUACUGAAGAGGUAAUGCAUUUGAGGUCACCAUUUUCUUGGUUUCCAUUCUGGAAUGUGGACAAGACCGACGCGCUAUCCGUUUCAUCCAGCUGCAAAGGCUUGCUAUUGGGUUUCUCUCUGUGAUACUGUAAAGAACCAAAGCUAUUCUUCUGAACACCAUCUUGAAUAGAAGACUGGGCAGGAAGACUACUGGUGGUGUUCUGUCUUCUGAAGGGUAGUUUAUAGCUGUGAGUAUGUGACUUCUGUAGGAAAAACUGAGAGGGUCUCAAUAAGUGUUCAUUUGAUUUCCCCAAAUUCUUACUGAACUCAUUUAAGUAAUCUGAAUUGCCUUGAAGACCAAAAGGUAAAGCACUAUCAACACUUCUAGAUCUUUUACGGUCAUCUGGAUGAAUUCUAUUUCUUCUGGCUGAUCGGCCUCUUCUUUGUGCAGGGGUGUUGGAAUCAAAUUUCUCUAUCAGUUCAUCCACUGCAGGAAUGCACCCAGUAUCAAUAUCUCGGCCAGUGCCAGGCACAAACGGAAUGUACCGUCUAUUUUGAUGGCGGUUAACAUUAUCCGCGUACAGUGCAUCUUCUUGCUCCUCCAGCAAAAACCUUUGCAAUGAAUGAGAUGAGGUUGCAGUUGAGGAACAGGAGGACCUGCGUGACCUUGACCCCUCAAGAACUGGGCCUGCAGAAUCCUGUCUUCUGAAUUGAAGAACGUCUGGCCUUGCCUUUCUGGUUUCGGAAAGAGCAUUAAAAAGCUGCUGUGUGGGGACACUACUAGUAGAAAUCGAUUCAUUAGUUAUAUUUUCACUUGGGCUACUUAAAACACUUACAUUAGCUGGUGGGUUGUUUUGGUUUUCCUCCUUUGUAGA